GAAGCGGCACCAGCCCGCGGCUCGCCAACCGGGAGCUGGCGGCUCCCAGCAGAAGGGAACAGAACCCGAGGACCCUUUGCAGGAGAAAGAGCAGGUGCGAUGAGAGGGGAGAAGGACAGAAAGUUGGACACCUUACGGGGCCCUCUCAUCAGAAUGACCUCAUUCCCACUCCGAGAGACUUGUUGGACUUUUUGUUGAGCCAUUUUUGUGAAGAACCACGUAGGCUCGGGACUGAGACUCGCACAAGGUCACACAGCUGUUGGGUGGCACACAUCUGAGUUUGGAGCCUUGAAGUGUCUCAUUCCGUCGCCUGUCUUCUACUGAUGCCUUUUGCGGAAUUGCUCUUUUCAGAAUUUAUGGCUGAACUACACACGGGCACCUUUCAUGGCCUGUCUGUCCAAUACUGGCUGCAUGGAUGUUUCUUUGUCUUUCAUUUAGUUGAAACUCCUGAGGCAGAGAUUGAGUCAUUUCCCUGCCUUCACUGGAAGGGCAGUAAAUGACAUGCAAAAUGUGUGAGGACUUCGUGUGGAAGCGUUUUCCUGCCACUGGUCCUUUUUAUCUGCCUUGUGCCCCCCUGCUAGACGGUCCUCCCCAGCACCUCCUCCUUUUAUCUCAGCCCUAACUUUUAAAGUCCAUCCCCUCACUCACUACCUUAACUUUCGUGUUUACUUCCUUUUAUGAACUUCUCUAGGUCGACCGUUUGCACUCUUCGCGGGGCGCUUGUUGUGUGGCCUUUCUACACCUUUGAUGAAUGCAUUCCCAGAUAUGUUCUCUUCUAGGAUGCCUCUUUGCAUCGCCAGUGGCACCGUGUUUGUACAAGCAGUACAGACUCCAAAAAAUGUUACUGGUGGGUGAACAUUAUUUCAGCCCGCUAAGAAAGAGGUGGGAGUGAGGGGUUUCCUGGUGGCUGAGCGAGUUAAAGACCUGGCAUUGUCACGGCUGUGUCUCAGUUUCAAUCUCUGACCCAGGAACUUGCACAUGCCAAGGGCACAACUAAAAAAGAGAAAGAGAGGAUUUCCAUCCCCAAAUCAAGCCUGCCUUGUUUAUGCCUCAACCUAUACUUUCCUAUCUCCAUAGUUUUUCUCCACUGUAAUCCUUAGCCUAUAUCAUAGACUGUCUAGAUCAUUCAAUAACAUAAAAACAAUAUUUUUCAAUUUGAUGUCUUAGCAGUGGCAACGAUAACAGGUGUGGUGUGAUAAGAUUUACUGACUCACCCUUCAUCACCUACUGUCAAGCCACAUUCCUACUACAUUAGGACGGAAAUUUAGGGAUAGAAAAAUAUGAAGGAUAUUUUCCGUCCUAGAUGGAUUACACUCGGGUAAAACGAAAAAUAUUUGUAAAUAUUUGCAAUACAGCAAGAGGAGUUGGGGAAAUGAUCUUUUAGAAGAAUAAAUUAAGGUUUUUAUUUCCCAGAGAGGACAAAUAAAAUCAUAUUAAUAGAAAGAAAAGUUAUUCACGUGACUAGCAUGCGGUCUUCAGAAGAAAAAUAAUACAGAGAUGAGUUGUGUUUGUUUUUGGAUAAUUCAAAAGAAAACUAGCCUGAGCCACUCCUGUGAAAAGACUAAACUGGAGUUUAAUCUCACAGUGGCAAGAAUUUAAAACAAUUUGCAACAACAAAGCACAGUUUAGCUUUUCAAACUGCUUCCAUUGAGAGUCUUUGCUUUACAUUUGCAUAACUUAAUGACACAUUCUGGCGGUCUUCUUAAAAUAAAAGGUUUGCAGAAAGACAGAUUAAGGUAGUGAAAGGGCAGCCUUUCUGGGCUCCAGCUUACUCAGAAUUCAGCCCUGCAGGGCUAGCAGCUAAAAGUUCUUCCCCCUUCCAUAGUUAGCUUUAAGAAUCCCUGCCUUUUCAGUUCUAUCUGUUAACUACCUUUUAUGCAGAGUCCAGUCAAGCCUGAAAUUGGAACGUUGCUCUAUCCCUGUUUCAACAGGAAAAAUUUUUAGUCCAUUUACAUUUAGUAUAAUUAAUGCUGUGUUUAGAUUUUUACCUGCCAUCUUACUAUUAUUUUCUUUGCCCGUUUACUUUAUAUCCCUAAUUCUCUUGUUUCUUGCCUUCUUUUGAUUUAAGUAUACCGUUUACCUCCUUUAUUAGCUUAUUAAUUUUACACUUUUAAGAAGUCUUAGGGAUUACAAUAGUCUCAAUUGAUUUAUUACACUCCAUUUUAAAUGAUUACUUUCAACACUUCCCCCCAAGUACUAAGACUUUAGGAUAGUAUUGUGUCUCCACAUAACCCCUUCCCCUUUUGUGUUUAUUGGUUGUCUUGUAUUUUAAUUGUGCGUAUAUUUUUAAAGCACAUGAGAUUUUAUUGGGAGGGAUAAACUAGGGAUUUGGGAUUAGCAUAUGCACACUGAGGUAUGUGGAAUGAUUGGCCAACCAGGACCUGCUAUAUAGGACAGAGAACUCUACCCAGUAUUCUGUGAUAAUCUGAGUGGGAAAAGAGUCUGCGAGAGAGAAUGGAUUUGUGUGUAUAUAUGACUGGGUCACUUUGCUGUACAGCAGAAAUAAUCACACCUUGUAAAUUAACUAUACUUCGAUAAAACUUUUUUAAAAGAUGUUAUCAUUGUACAGUCAAUAUUCAUUAGAUGUUCCUUUAUGUUCCUCUUUCUUCCAAUAUGUAUUUGUAUGCUUAUGAGUGGAAUUUUUUCUCUCUGUUUGAAUAAUUCCUUUGUUCCAAGC
rnacentral:lncRNA from 1 species